ACAAGUACCCGUGAGGGAAAGUUGAAAAGAACUUUGAAGAGAGAGUUCAAAAGGGCGUGAAACCGCUUAGAAUAAAACGGACGGACCCGUCUGAGGCCCAUCGGAAUCAGUCGAAUCGACGCGUGAAUGCGAGUGCGAUCGAAGAAAGGAACGAAAGUCCCGUCGCCUCGUUCGAGAGAGUAGCGCUCGUUCGAUGCAUUUCCGAAGGGUAAGCACCGCGACCGGUGCGAAGGGCUAGCGAAGCCGUCGGAUUGAGGGCGAGCUCGUUCGCGAGUCUCGUAACCAGUCAGUCGGUACGAAUAGAAUUCGUUAGACCGUAGCAUCGAGAGAGAAAAGUAUCGAGUGUCGACGAGAUAUAUACGCUCGUCUGUUACGAUGGAAGUGCGUCCGACCGGUCGUCGCCUGCUCGCAGGUUACGGUUAGUGUUCGGUUCGUAUCGGAAAUUGUCGGCGACGCGUUCGACACUCGGGCGUCCGCGGUGUCCGAGUCGGUCACCCGUCCGACCCGUCUUGAAACACGGACCAAGGAGUCUAACGUAAGCGCAAGCUAAUGGGCGGAAAACCCAUAAGCGAAAUAAAAGUAAAAGUCGUCUCGGACGACCGAGGUACGAUCCCGAAGGGCGAGAAUAUCCUCGGGCGCAGUACCGUCCCGUCCCGACCGCAUGUCGGUAGGGCGGAGAUAGAGUGCUUACGUUGGGACCCGAAAGAUGGUGAACUAUGCCUGAGCAGAGCGAAGCCAGAGGAAACUCUGGUGGAGGUUCGUAGCGGUUCUGACGUGCAAAUCGAUCGUCAGAC
rnacentral:rRNA from 1 species